GCCCUGGCCAGCACUGGGGUUAUUCCCAGCAGAUUUUCCAAGCUGUGAAUUCCAUUUCCCACUGGCAGCCCCCUGAGGGACAGCUGGCAUGGUCUGAAUGAACACAGCCCACCUUGAAGGGACCCAAAGGCCUUGCCUGACCUCAGUGGGAAACAUUCCCUGGGAUGGGCUGGUGCCCACGGGACCCAGGAGCUCUCUCUGUGACCCCCAGGACACACCAGGGCCUCCCUGGAGGGUCCCACAGGAGAACCUGACCCUGGCAGGGCAGCCCAGGGUACGGGCAGAAGGACAGGGGCGAUCCCUGAGCAGGAUAAUUCAGAAGAAGCCAGGAAUGAACAUUGGAAGGAGAGGAGAAGGUUGGGAAGGAGCAAGGGGAGCAUCCCGAACAAAUCCCCGCUGGCUCCGGCUGUUGUGUGGAAUUGGGCUGCAUCUGUCACAUCUGAUUACAUUGUUGUCCUUUUUUAUCUCCCUGAUCUAUGCUAUGAUUCUUCUGCUUUUAUGCGACAUUUCCUUGGCAGUAGAACUGCUUGGAUUAGCUAUUCCGAGUGUUUCCCUCCCCAUAAAACAUCCAAAUUGCAGAGGGUAUUUAUUUGCACAGUUAUGUUUUGCUUUGUCUUUUUGUUUAUUUUUAAUGUCGCUUUUUUAUGAUAUUUUUUGUGUGCUGGUGCUGCUUGUAAAGAGGAUCCAUGUGGGAAAUAUCAGUGAGUUAAAUUCAGAGCAAGGCUACCAAGUUUGUAUUUGGGCAAGGGCAGACUUGGGCUCUGGUGUUCCAGGAGCUGUGUCCUUCUCUUGGCCCGGUGUCAGCAAAUCCAGCAAAUCCAUGGGGACUUUUCAGAGAACCUGGAAUGGUUUGGCUUUGAGGUGACCUUAAAAAUCACCACGGGCAGGGACAACUUCCACUGGAGCAGGUGUCCAGCCUGGCCUUGGACACUUCCAGGGAUUGGGCAGCCACAGCUGCUCUGGGCACCUGUGCCAGGGCCUUUUUGGUCAAAACGUUCAGAGGAGGUGAAAAUCCCACCCAAAAUGAGCAAUGUCCACCCCUGACCUUGCUGCAAAGUCCCUGGGCUCUAUCAGGACUUGUAAAAUAUUGCUGGGAAUUGUGACACAAAUAGAGAGCAGGGGCUGGAGUUCUCCAGGCUGUGAUCUCUCCAGGGGCUGAUGUUCUCCAGGCUGUGAUCUCCUCAGGAGCUGAUGUUCUCCAGGCUGUGAUCUCCUCAGGAGCUGAUGUUCUCCAGGCUGUGAUCUCCUCAGGAGCUGAUGUUCUCCAGGCUGUGAUCUCCUCAGGGGCUGAUGUUCUCCAGGCUGUGAUCUCUAAAGGAGCUGAUGUUCUCCAGGCUGUGAUCUCCUCAGGAGCUGAUGUUCUCCAGGCUGUGAUCUCUCCAGGAGCUGAUGUUCUCCAGGCUGUGAUCUCCUCAGGAGCUGAUGUUCUCCAGGCUGUGAUCUCUAAAGGAGCUGAUGUUCUCCAGGCUGUGAUCUCCUCAGGAGCUGAUGUUCUCCAGGCUGUGAUCUCCUCAGGGGCUGAUGUUCUCCAGGCUGUGAUCUCCUCAGGGGCUGAUGUUCUCCAGGCUGUGAUCUCUCCAGGAGCUGAUGUUCUCCAGGCUGUGAAAUUUCCUGCCCCAGGACUGAACACCCCCAGGGCAGCUCAGGGCUGAGCAAGGCAAGGGAAAUUCAAACACUUCCCAUUGGAAAGUUCCUUUCCUGAGCCCUGCCUGGCCCUGGAACCGCUCUGGGCUGUUCAGUGCAUGAUGUGGGUGACACGCUGAAAUGAUAUUUUACAGACAGGAUUUUUUUCCACUUAACAAAUUCUUUGCCUUUGUGUGUUCCUAAACCAAGGCUGAAUCCACACAGGCUCCUCUUGUCCUUCU
rnacentral:lncRNA from 1 species